AUCCUUCGACAUCAGCUAACAUGGCUUCAGUAUCUGUUCUUUUCAGUUUAAUCUCUGAAACGUGUCUACGGACACAUUCAAGAUUAUUCUUAUUUUUGCAAUCCGUCCGGAGGCCGCUGAGCUUGCUCAUGUCUCCGGGCACCGUGUCGCUGGUAUUGCACUGCCUCCAGCUGACGCGAACCUCC
rfam:Hortaea werneckii EXF-2000 unitig_2, whole genome shotgun sequence.